UUGGAGGGCAAGUCUGGUGCCAGCGGCCGCGGUAAUUCCAGCUCCAAUAGCGUAUAUUAAAGUUGCUGCAGUUAAAAAGCUCGUAGUUGAAUUUCGGGACCAUCAUGUCGGUCGUGCCUCGGUACGUACUGGCAUUGUUGGUUUCUACCUUCUGACGAACCAUGAUGUCAUUUAUUUGGUGUUGUGGGGAAUCAGGACUGUUACUUUGAAAAAAUUAGAGUGUUUAAAGCAGGCUCACGCCUGAAUACAUUAGCAUGGAAUAAUGAAAUAGGACGUUUGAUUCUAUUUUGUUGGUUUCUAGGAUCGACGUAAUGAUUAAUAGGGAUAGUUGGGGGCAUUAGUAUUCAAUUGUCAGAGGUGAAAUUCUUGGAUUUAUUGAAGACUAACUACUGCGAAAGCAUUUGCCAAGGAUGUUUUCAUUAAUCAAGAACGAAAGUUAGGGGAUCGAAGACGAUCAGAUACCGUCGUAGUCUUAACCAUAAACUAUGCCGACUAGGGAUCGGAUGAUGUUAAUUUUUUAAUGACUCAUUCGGCGCCUUACGGGAAAC
rnacentral:rRNA from 1 species